AGGUGUUACACAAUGGCCUCAUUAUGGAGAUGAAGCAUCCAACCGUGGGGAAGAUAUCAGUGCCAGGCCCAGCUGUGAGAUACAGUAAGUUCAAGAUGUCAGAGGCCAGGCCACCCCCCCUGCUCGGGCAGCACACAAUGCACAUCCUGAGGGAGGUCCUCGGAUACAAUGACAAGGCCAUUGGGGAGCUGUUCAGCGCUGGAGUGGUGACCCAACACGAAGCCGAAUGAUCAAAAAUGCUCUUUCUCAACACCACAACCUGAAUGUACUUUGUUAGCAAAGGCAAUCUUCUUUCUGGACCCUUUUCCCCAGUUCUGGUGCCUGCCUCUGCAAAGAAAAGUUAGAGUAAUUCCAGAUUUCCUGCCUGGCGCCUCCAGAAUGGCUCUGGUAUCAAUGCAUCUAGUGCUUUCUAAAUGUGCCCCACCUUCUACUCCUUACCAUUCUCCCCCCACCCCAGAUAAUAGAUUAAUUGUGGAUUGGUGGGAUUUUUUUUUUUUGGUAAAGAUUUUUUUUUUCCUGGAAAAAUACAUUCCUCAUUCUAAUUACAUUAAUAGCCUAAACGUUUGCCCCUCCAGCCCACGCAGGUCUGAAAAAGAGCAGAUCUCUUGCCAUUCUCUACUGGCACAUAAAGUCUUCAUUUAAACCUUUGUUAGGAAGUCAAAGCAAUAAGCAGAAUGACAGUUUCAGUGAUUGAUUUUAAACAGAAUAACUUAAUUUUGAGCUCAUGAGUCCUUUGUUAAUCUGUAAUUUAAACCAUGGACUUUGCUGAUGUCCGUUAGGAAAACUGAGCUUCAUUCUCCCCAUGGGGGUAAAUAUUUGCUUUAUGUUGUAUUUCUCUGAUUAUUUCAUGAUAUGUGGCAGAAAAUCAAUUUUCAUUGCUGCAUUUUGGGGUGUAUGGAUCUAUCUGCAUUAGGGGGUGGAAAGUGGCUUUUUUAAUCAGCACCUUAUUUUGAGCCAAGUACAAAUGCAAUAGGUUUUUAAAUGAGUGUCAAAUGACCAUCUAGGUAUUGAAUAAUGUUUAUAUAAUAGGAGAAUGAAAGGAGAACAUUCUUUUGUAAUCUGAGCACUCACUGUAGAAGAAUAUAUAACGCCUUAAUAUUGAGUAUUGGCAUUUAAGUAUUAAAGUAUUUGUCAGAGAGCUUAAAGUAUAGAAAACAUUUUCUGUCCAGGAGAUGGCAACUGAUUUGACUCUAUGUUCCAGGAUAAACUGUCGCUCAGGCUACCAGUCCCCCAAGCCCAGGUAUAGACCUGUGCAUCACAUGACCUCAUGAUCAGUCUCCCGACAUGAUCUGAAGUCAUGACCUUAAGGCAAACAUUUUGCCAUCAUUUUAUGACAUACCACGUGGCAAUUGAAAGUUAAGUUAGAGGUGUUCAUCUUUCAAACUGUGAGUUAGAGCUGGUUUUACUUUCAUGCUCUUUUUGAUUGAGAUGAUUUGAGCUAUUUAUCCAUGCUGUAAACCCCAAUAUAUUUCUAGAAUCAAGGAUUGCAAAUAAAUAGGAAAUGUGUCUUCUCA